rnacentral:rRNA from 1 species
UACGUAGGGCGCAAGCGUUAUCCGGAAUUAUUGGGCGUAAAGAGCUCGUAGGCGGUUUGUCGCGUCUGCUGUGAAAGACCGGGGCUCAACUCCGGUUCUGCAGUGGGUACGGGCAGACUAGAGUGCAGUAGGGGAGACUGGAAUUCCUGGUGUAGCGGUGAAAUGCGCAGAUAUCAGGAGGAACACCGAUGGCGAAGGCAG